rnacentral:rRNA from 1 species
GGGAGAAUUUUUCUCAAUGGACGAAAGUCUGAAGGAGCGACGCCGCGUGGGGGAUGAAGGGCUUCGGUCCGUAAACCCCUAUCAUUUGUGAACAAACCUUGCUAUUGAAUAGAUAUCAAGCUGAUAGUAGCGAAAGAGGAAGGGACGGCUAACUCUGUGCCAGCAGCCGCGGUAAUACAGAGGUCCCAAGCGUUGUUCGGAUUCACUGGGCGUAAAGGGUGCGUAGGCGGUGGGGUAAGUCUGGUGUGAA